CUCACUGAAGAAAUAAAAUAGUCAAACUGAAAGAUAGUAUCCCGCUGGGGUUAGCCAUCCACAUAUUACUCAGCAAUUAUGUUAGAAAAAUUUACCAAAUUGUAAAGUACAAAUUAAAUAAUAAAAAAAAAUAUACAAAUACUUAUGUACCAGAGAAAUAACAAAAGUUCGUUCCAAGUAUAUGGAAAAGUGACAUAAUUUGCCUGCAAAGUGUACCCAAGUUGAAACGCGACUAACGAAGAGAAGAAUGCAAAAUUCAUUUUUUUCCCAUCAAUUCCACACACGUAUGUCUGCCUAUCUAUUCAUCACAGGUUUUCAAGUUAUCGUCCUAUCGCGCAGAUUUUCGAUCGUCUCGUUACAAAAGCAAACCUCGUGCCUGCAAAUUUCUGUAAAUUCGUUGAUUCGUCAUCCAGCGUCGAUUCUCAUUGAGAAUUUCGUAUUAUCAUGCGUAUUCGCCCAUACAACGAAUCAUCGACAGAGUUAUAAAAUUCGAGCAAUAAAUAACACCCUGUCAUCUGUGUCGAACAUAAGAAAAAGAAAGAAGAAGAAAAUAAGAAAAAAAAGGGAGAAGGAGAAGUAGCGUAAUUUCGUGGCAGCUACGAGACUCCGCAUCGUUACUGGAGGGUUGUUAACCCUUGGGAUGUCGAUGGCAGCCGCUCGAUUGGCUGUCGCCUCGAUACGAAACCCGAUCGAGGUCACACGCGAAUGUUUAUCGGUUGGUUCGAUGGGGAUGUUAACCUGCACCCUACCACGAAAUUAUGUCCAUUAUUUAUAGGGAUUUAUAGGGAUAUUUUCGGAACGUUUCACGUGUCUGUUCCCCGUUUACGUACACGUGAUAUUUAAAGGCGAAUUUAUCGCUUACAAGAGGAACGUUUCUAGUCGACCGAGAGAAAGGAUGUUCGUCGAGGAUUCCCAAGUUUCAACGAAACGAGCGUGCUUCCAUGCAAACUAAGAAGGCGAAGUCCAAUAAAGAGGAAAUUUACUGGACCGAGAAAGGUGGAGGGAACGGAGAAGAAAAAAAGGAAACGUAGAAAGAGAGACAGGGGAAACGGGGAGGAAAAAGAGGGCGGGAAAAUUUAGGUAGACGGAGAGAGAUGGAGAAAUAAAUCGUCAACCUAUAUCAGGAUGAGAUCUCGUUAUUCGUCGACGACAGUAAAAGCAUGCUAAGUAAGCCGAUGAGCUGGAUUUUUUAGCAAAUUGAAUAAUUUAAUUCGGCCUCUUGCAGCUCGUCUAUCGUUUAACGAUACUAACUUAACGGUAGUACGAAAUUCGUUUUAUCGACAGAGAUGAUAAACCAAAUUUCUUUUAUUUAGAGUCUCCGACGAGUCGAUAAAUUUCUCGCUCACGUUACGUAAACGGGGGGUCAUUUACUUUCGACACGUUUUUCUUUGGUUGAACGUCUUCGAAAAAAUGUCGAGAAAAUACGAGCAUAGGAAUGGUACGAAGUUAACUUUAUGGAACAGGAUGAUACACUUCUCUACCAGCGUUUUUAUUCCAUUCUUCGACAAUUCGAUAAAUUUUCCACUCUCAUUCUGUAAACGUUUUUACGGUUACCGCGAGCCGCAAACGUGGGCCAUUUAUGCCCCACACGUUUUUCAUCGGACAAAAGUCCUCGGAAAAAUUGGAGAAAAUUCGUACACCAUCUUUCAACCUUACAAAUUCAGAUGCUCACAGUUGUUCAUCCUAUAACAUCUUCCUUACAGACAGGUUCAAAGGUUUGUUACUUGUUUCUGCUUGCGAGAAAGUCAGGAAAUUUUCAAAUUUAUUCGAACACGAGAGCAAAGUUUAAUUCAGUUUCAAAAUAUUUAUGAAUAUUCAUAAGAAGAUGAUCGCGCGUCUUUGACAACAUCAAUCUGAAACAUACGUUUUUCGUUCGUCGUUGAUGAAAGCGUCUGUUCCUUACGACCACUUGCUGGCCAUUCUUUCAGCUGCAUCGUUAAAACCAAAUUACACCUCGAAUUUGCAUUCUCACGGAGAGGUAAAGCCACGUGUAACACAGUACGGUUGAGAAAGCGUAGCUGUGAGCCAGGCUUAUUGCGAGGAAAUCCGGAAACGACCGGAAAUACGCGAAGCGUAUUGCUUUUCAGCUCGUUAAUUCGCUGGACGUUUAUUAGUCUCUCCUUUGGAUCGGCUGUGACCGAAAAGGUCGCAUCGUGUCGCCAAUCACCGUGAAAAUUCUUCAGUGACUUUUAUCGGUGUUUUUGGAUUUUCAUUCGACGAUAACUUCCCUUCCCGAGGCCUACGUAAACGGGGAUUCUACGUGGACAAACCUGGCCAAUCGCGUCUCAAUUUAGAAUCAACUCUCAUAGAAAAAAGACUAAAAUGAAAACACCUCACUGACCUCUCACUAAAGAAAUAAAAUAGUCAAAUUGGAAGGUGGUAUCCCGCUGGGGGUAGCCAUCCACAUAUUAUUUAGCAAUUAAGUUAGACAAAUUUACCAAAUGUCCAGCUGGACAAAUUGUAAAGUGCAAAUUAAUCGAUUCUCGAUUUUCUAAGUGCGAAAUUACCGUUCUUCUCCCGUGAUCUAACCUAUUCAGUAAAAUGGCUGCCGGUAAAACAAAGCAAAAGUAAAAAUGUCGGUUGGCGGGUAGUUUGAAUUCUAUAGAAUUCACAUAUACGAUAUCAAAGAAUAAAUUAUAAAGCGAGAAGUAUUAAAGAGGCACCAUAAUUUUGCAAAAUGAAUUUACGCAUAAUAAAUAUUAUAUGAUGUAUAAAUUGUAUAUAAUAAGAGCAGUGAAUAAAUAUACCAUAGUAUAAUAAAUAUAAUAUAAUAUAUAUUAUACGAAAGUGUACGAGACACGCGAAAACGUAUGUCGCGGACCGUCAAUGCCAUCAAUUUCACGAGAUGCUCCAGAGUAAAAUGUUAAAGUAAUUACUUCUAGGAAAACUCUACGUCCUGUUCUUUUGUAUACCCGUGGCCUGGACACUGCCGUUACGAAAAAAAUAGAAUUUACUGAAGCAAAAAAAAAAAAAAAAUGAAAAAAGACAGAGGCCAUAUCAUAUUAUUGUGUCAUCGAAUAUGAAUGUUGUUUUUUGUGUUAUAAGCUCUAGAAACUAAAAAGAGCUAUAGGUAGAUUUUUAUUGCUGUUUCUUCAACUAAUUCAAUUACACGCUAAGAUUAAUUUGUUGAUAAUGUCCCUUGCUAUAAAUGUAUGAACGUGCUCCCUAUCAUUUCUUAUUGUAAUGCAACACUGCUAGAGUGAGGUUAGGAUCUGCAUCAGCAUACACUAUACCUGUACCUAUACUUAUACUUACUUCAAUAUAUAUUUCAAAAGACAAUAUAUAUUACAAUUUCAUCUACGCGUUUCUCUAUCAGAUAACCAGAGCAAAAGAUCAUUUGCAUAGUUGUGUAACGUUAUGGAAUGAUAGAACCGAGAGUUAAGUAGGGACGAUCGUUUAUUAGGUUUAUUUACGAGCAUGCUCGAAUUUCCAAUUAACGCUGGUCCCGGCCGGAUUUCCCCUCUGCGCCGGCAAUUUCUCCAAUUAAUCGCGUUGCGAAAUGCCGUUACAUAAUAGAUCAAUUAGCAAACGACGUCUGAUUCGUGUAAUAACCCUGUCCACGUGUCUCUGGAGAACGUGCUGCUUUCGUUCUCGCAUUUCUCCGCGGUACGUUCGAGAUUUAGUCGAUUUCACCACCGACAAAAUAUACAAAAUUUUGUCUCUUCCGGUAGCACAGACGUUCGAAGUAAAAUUUUCAUAAACUUGCAUAUUGAGAUAUAUAUAUAAUUUUGUAUGCUACGCCGGAUUAGCCGCGCGAUAAUAAUACACAUAUAUGAGUAUGAGUGUGUGUGGAGGUACGUGCGUGCGCAGCGUCUCAUAGGACAGAAGAAUGUAUUUUUUUCUGUUUUAUUAUUUAACUUGUACUUUACAAUUUGUUCAGCUGGGCAUUCGGUACAUUUUUCUAGUUAGAAGAAUGUAACUGUUCCGUAGUACGCAUGAUGGUGGAAAGAUGGCGCGACAAAGGGAGUACCGAGACACGUGCAAUGGGUAUCUACGAAUAUCUUGUCAAUCACAUAUUAAAUAAAUACGAAACUAUUUUAAUAUCAUUUCUACGUGUAACGUAAGUGUUCCUACAUAUAUAUUUCGGCGACUAAGAUCCACAAUUCUCAACAUUGCAAACUUGAUUUUCGCGAUAACGAGGCGGAAAUAAUUUGUUCGGAUCUGUGCCAGUCAGCGGUUCGUUCUUUUCGCUCGUAGAUUCCACCGUCUCGUUGAUUGCACUACGUUCGCCGUGUCACGUAGGAGACACAAGAAAUCGCGAAAUUAACACGUCACUGGUGAUCUCCUCGCGUCGUUCGAACGUUUUGUAAGUAAGUUAAAGAAUUCGCACUUUAGAUAUGGAUAGUAAAAUUUAUUGUACGAAUCCAACAGAGUAAGCGUUAUAACAGAGUAUUAACGAUUCGGAAUCUUGCGAUAGAGUGUCGAGUGUGGAUUCUGGGUAGGCUUGUAUGCUAUAUAGGGUUUGGGCCCUCUGGAGGGAUUGCCGCCAAUCACAAGUGGCUAGCUUGUUACUGUCAUCUGAGCCUGGGACACUAGCUGAUAAUCGCCUCGAUGGUGUCACGUCGAAAACACUGGUCGUUUUCUCGCGUCGUUCGAAUAAUUUCGCGCAGGUUUAAACGUUUCGCGAGCAAGAACAGAGUGUGUCGAGAGCUGAUUUUGGCAAGGUUUAUAUACUAUGGGUUCGGCUCCUAUAGAGAGGGGAUAAGGCCCAGGUCACAGGUGGCCAUGCUGUUACUGUCUUCUGACCCUGGGACACUGUUUAUUGCUAAUUUAUGGCUCUGUGACAAUGGCUGUGGUCUGCAGGAUGUUUGCCAGGCGUAAUUAUCCUAUUAUUGUUUUAUGAGCCUGUGACAACCGCGACACCUUGUAUGUACUAACAGACAGAGCAUGUUUAUGGGAAUUCGUUGUUUCGCAAAUUAUUAUGCGACUUAUUCGUCGUAUGUACGGAACUUAAGGUAAAUGGUUCUUAAGUAAACGUGGAAAUUCAAGACACUGAAAUUUCGAGGGAAACUAGUUCGUGGUGGACGAAACCGUCGUGCAACAUUUGGAAUCGAUUUGUCAUAAUUAUCGUAAUUAUGGAGAAAUUGUUAUUACAGGUUGAUGCACUUUAACGCGGCUGCCAUAUGGCGGAUCUGAAAAAAGAGGCUUUCGGUUUCACUUUUUUCCCGGAAACAGUAAAAAGCCGUAUCGAAGUAUAUAUCAUGUCAAAAUUGGAGAAAAAUUAUGUCGGAAUAUCGCGAAGCGAAUUCGUUAAUUUUUCUAAAAACUGUUUCUUAAAAUGCUCAGAAAAAAGUAGGUCUACGUGCAGAAGCUACGCAGAGCAGCGAACGCGACAGCGUAUAGAGAUACGUGUGUAAACGUUUGAAUAGCGAGCGACGAUCCAUUGCAAUAUACGUCGCUUUCUAUAGUUGGAACUAAUUUGAAUAGCGUUUGUGGACGACGCUGCAAAUGCCAAAAUUAAAGACUUUUGUUCUUGCGUAGGAAAAUAUUUUCUACGUAACAACGAGAAUACCGUAGUUUAAAAUUUAAGUGCAGUUGCACCUUCCUAAAUAUUACAGUUAUUAAUAACGCUAAAACACGUAGAAAGAAAUAUAAGUUAAUUAUUUCUUUGCUUUUGUCUAUUGCCAUCUAUCUAAAUUCUAGUUGAACAUUCAGCUUUCUUCACGUUCAACCAGUUAGUUGUUGCGUUGUUGUUGAUAAAAAUUAUUUAAUUUGUACUUUACAAUUUGUCCAGCUGGAUACCCGGUAAAUUUUUCGAGCUUUUUUGAAAAGUGCCUGCCUAAAACGUGUGGCAAGAAGCAAGCGACGACGAGUAUACUCGUCAAACACAGAGCACGCUUGGCUGUUAUACAGGGUGGUCGGUAACUGGUGGUACAAGCGGAAAGGGAGUGAUUCUACGCGAAAAAAGAAGUCGAAAAUAUAGAAUAAAAAUUUUUCGUUCGAGGCUUUGUUCUCGAGAAAAUCGACUUUGAAUUUUGGCUCGGUACGCGUGCACUUUAUCGCGUCUCGUUAUAACGGAUCUCACUGUAGAUCAUUGUCUCGAUGGAAAAAUUUAAAAAUUAAAAAAAAAUUUUUAUUCUAUAUUUUCGACUUCUUUUUUCGCGUACAAUCACCCCCUCUCCGCUUGUACCACCAGUUAGCAACCACCCUGUAUAUUACAAUAUAGAAUCAAGUUGUAACGAAAUGACUGAUUCUUUCGUUUCAUUACUACAAUUCAUUGCAAUCGCCAAAUUGCAAUUUAAACGGCACAUUGUGACCACCUUUUACGCACGACGAGUAAACUCGUCAAACACGGAAUAUGUACUAUGUACAAACAAGAACAAUCAGAUCGUUUAUACUUCGAAAUCUACCUUCACUUUUGGCCGCGAAACCUUCGACGUAACGAAAUUCGUCGCCGCGACGACGAUAUUCAUUUUGGGAGACACUUUUUCGUCACGUUUCUUCGCGAGGGAGAAUUGCAGAGGCGAGAACUCGAAAAUGUCGAGUCGGGUCGACUGAGAGAACCUCUGUUGCAAUCGGCUCCGGUUUCCCAUCAAAAUAUCUCGUAAUUUGAGAUUCGUGGCACACCCGAGACUUUCGAGAUUCUGAUGAAUUUUCAUGUUAUAUGUACGAAUGAAAGAAAGAUAACAACGAAAGAUGUGCGAUAGAUUAUAAAUUGUACGUCGUAAAUUAGAUUCUAAUGUUUCGUUAUAAGACGUUAUCGUUUAUUAUGUAAUUUUAUAAUUCUCGAGAAUCCCGCGGAAGUCUGAAGAAUCCCGACAACAUCGGAUUACGAGAUACUUUCGAAACUCGAGCCGACCCGGCCCGAGUAUCCGGUUCCCGGUAUUUCCAGGUUCUCGCAAACCCACAGAAAAUAAGCUCGCGUUCUAAAAUUUCAAGCGAGACGUCCAUCGAAACUUAAUUAUACAGGACGAAGAAAAUUCGUAUUGGCAAGAAACACAUCGAAAGAGUAGAGCUCGAGGGUAAAGUUUAGAACGGUCUGUAUAAAAAUCUAGCCGUCCAUACGCUAGAACGGAUUAUAUUGGCACAAAAUUCAAUCGAAGCUGUUCGCGAGUAUCUGGGGGAAAUUAGGGUGGAUCGGCGGUAACACGUACAGGGGAAAGUUAUCGAGAACGAUGACUUUGACAAGGUCAGAGAUAUUUCAGGGUAGUUAUUUAUAGAUAGAUAUUUCAAGAUAUCUCAAGGUCAUGGAAAUUGACGACCAUUUGCUCCUCUCCAGACGAUUGCUGAAAAUUCUACCAAAAGGUGUAUCAAUGAAUAGAAAUCUUAUUUAAAACACUAACCUUAUCAGACCCGGUCAAGUGACCGGUUUCAAAAUUUAAUUUAACAUUGUACAUUCGUCUUAUUUACUUCUUUAUAGUUACUUAAUAUAUUAUACUUACAUUAUACUUGUUUUAUAUUACACAUUUAUAUAUAUUAUAUUGUAUAUACAUUAUACGUUACAUUAUAUAUUUACAUUGUAUUUAUGUAUAUUAUCUUUGUUAAAAUAAUAAUAUAAUGUUUUAUUAAAUACAAAAUUUAUAUAUAACAGGAUAACUAUUUUAAAUUAAUAAAUAGUUUAUACGUAACAUAAAUUAUUUUCUUAUACAUCUCAAACAGGAAUGAAUUUAUAUCGAACAGUUUUCCUUUUGUCUUCCUCUCUUUCAUUCCUCGCUCGUACAAUACAGAUUUUCUUUUUUAUUAUUUAAUUUGUACUUUACAAUUUGUCCAGCUGGACAUUAAGUAAAUAAUACACAUGUACGCACAUGUAUUUUCUAACAAUAUUAUACAUUAUAUUACACAUAUAUUAUACGUUAUAGGUUAGUAUAUUUGAAUUAUUUCUUUCGUUCGUCUAACAUUACGUAAAUUCUUAUAUUAACCGAUUGGUCGAUUUCUCAAUUUUUCUUGCUAUAAGAAUUUACAUAAAGUUCGACGAGCAAGGGAAAUCACGACGAACGUACAACUGUAAAUUAGAUUUUCAAGCCGGUCGUUUGGCGCUGCUGGAGCUUAGUGUCAAUGCGAUAUCUCUCGCUAGAAUCGCGACUGCCCCCUCUUAAAACGAUAUUCGAGAUCUCGAACUCAUACUUGUGGUAUUCUUCGCGACGAUGAAAAGCUGGUGACACGUCGUGGAUAAAGUAAUUUCGCGGCCAGCGACGUUCCCUUCCGAGUUUUAAAUAAAGUGACAGGCAUUCGCGCUGCUUUGCAUCGAACGAACUGACGGCUGCGCUGAAAUUGGAAAAGUUCACUCGCGAUUCUUGCCGAACGUGGCCGAAGUUCCAUCGGCAGUCGAGAAAUCGCGACCAAUAACAGUUUUUAUGUCUUCGGCGUAGAAUUCAAGUAGAAACGUCGCGGUAAAUCGAAGGCUGAGAGAUUAGGGUAGAAAACGAGGGAUUGAAACGCGUUAUAAAAAUUGCACGAGCUAAUGGGUACAGGUGGACUUUGCAAUUGUAUGGAGACGUCGACUAAACGCCUAUAGCGCCUCUUCUGGUCAAAGUUGAAUUAACAGUCAAGUACGGUUCUAUAGCCUUUGUCGAUCGUUGUAGCGCAUAUACGGCUAGAAAAUAAUUCGUCAAAAGCAUAAGUAACGCUGUUCGACCGGUAGAUCGCGUCAAUGAGAGUCGUAAAUUCUCGUUACGAUUAGACAAUCGACGCCACGAAUUGAUCGAUCUCUUAUUUCGAUUAGAAUAAUAGAGGUAGUUGACUGAUUAUAACACUGAAGUAACAGGUUAUAAUAUAUACUCUAUUCCAACAACUUUGUACAUAUAAAUAGCUACGCGUCGUGCGUAUAGACGUAUUCUCAGAGACGUGUAAAUAGUAAGUUUCUUUUUUAAUACUUAAUUUGUACUUUACAAUUUGUCCAGCUGGACAUUUGGUAAAUUUUUCUAGCUUAAUUGCUAAAUAACAUGUGGAUGGCUACCUCCAGUGGGAUACCAUCUUCCAAUUUGUCUAUUUUAUUUCUUUAGUGAGGUCAGUGGGGUGUUUUCUCUUUAGUCUUCUUUUUAUGAGAGUUUUGCUCGCUUCAGCAGCCAGCUGGUUUCGAUGUGUUGACGUUCUUUCCUUGUAUUUUUUUGCGUCCCCGCCGAUUUCUUCUUUGACCGUUGAUAUUUUUAAGUCUUCGCGUAUAUCCUCGUUUCUGAUAUAUCAUGGGACGUUGACUAUCGUUAUGAGUAUCUUCGAUUGUAGCGACUUUAGUUUAUUUAUGUGACUCGCUGCUGCUAUUCUCCAUAGUGGUAUUCCAUACAUGCAAAUUGGAUUUAUAAUCGUCUCGUAAAGUUUUAGUUCAUUUUCCAUGCUGAAUUUUGAGUUUCGACUAGUUAGCCAGUACAUCUAUCUUCUUUUUAUCCGUAUUUUGCCUACAAUUAGUAAGUUAACUGAUGACUGAUCAAUGAACGAAUAACCAGUGAAGACAUCGACUGGUCAACGGAUGAAAAACCAGUCAAGAGAUGUUGACUGGUCUAAGGACAACAAACUGACGAUGCUGUCGCAGAGGAAAACUAUCGCUGGGGGUUGGUCGCUCCACCACCGGUCGAUUGCUGGUGGAAAUGAUCGUCGAACAUGGGCAAAUCCUGACCUUCCAAUUUUUUACUCGAUUGAAUAAUAACCAUAAGCAACGUUUCGGCUUGAAAAUAUUUUAUAACAAUUAAGGGCCUUGACAAUAAAAUCAAAAUGCUUAGUUUUGAGACAGUCCCUUAUUAUUGCGGUUCGACUAAUUGUAUUUGCACAGCUAGUGGCCGUCUUGAUCGAGGGAUGGAUUCUGGUUUAUGGAAAGGGUCACCGGACGUAACAAACGCUGAACGCGAGCAAACACAAUUUAGGUGUAAUAAUAAACGUAGAUAUAACAACAAAGAUAUAAAUAAACGCAGUAAUAGGUAUACACUAAAUAGUCGCUCAGGGGAGAAAUGCUCGUUCCACGGUAGCGGAAGAAAAUCGAGAACGAACAAGACAAUAUACGGAGGUGAGGAAAAGAAGGGGGCGAAAAUUAUCGUUCGUUUGUUCAACUCUUUCUUCACGCUUGGUAAAGAUGGUAGGAGAAGAGAAUUUCCUGGACCUCGUACAAUUCGCCUACGCUACUUAUCUGGGUACAGUGCUAAUGAAAUUUCGAAAUGUUUCGUCUAACAAAUACCGUAGAGUUUCCUCCUAAUAUCGUCCCUAUUAUGCCAAAAUCGAGAAUAUGUAAAUUUUCAUUUUUUCAUUAAAGAAACGAGUCGAGCGCCUUCUUCUCGUUUCUGGCUACGUGGAUUCUUAGACUUCUUUCUCCAUCCGCGAUCUCAUUUUAUAUAUUAUAUAUUUAUAUAUGAUCAGAAUGCGAAUUUUAAAAGUUGGAAAAAUGCAAAGAGCGAACGUAGUAUGGAGAAAUGAAAAAGAAGAAAACAUUCAAAGUGAAGUGGUACUUGUCAUAACAUUUAGUGGAAAAAAUAAACCUUUGUUGCGUUGUUUGCUAUUAUAUCGAUAACAAUACUACAUAUACUACUAUAUAUACUAUAUACUAUAUAUACUAUAAGACUAAAUAUAAAUAUAUUUGAUUGGGCUGCGAAUUUUAAAAGUUGGGAAAAUGCAAAGAAUGCACGUAAUAUGGGAAAAUGAAAAAGAAGAAAAAUAUUGAAAGUGAAGUGGUACUUGUCAUAACAUUUAAUGGGAAAAGUAAACCUUUGUUCUAUUACUUGCUAUUAUAUCAAUAAUAAUACUAUAUGUACUAUAUAUACUACUAUAUAAUAUAUAGUAAUAUAUACUACUAUAUAAUAUACUAUAUAAUAUAUACUAAUAUAUACUACUAUAUAAUACACUAUAUAUACUAUAUUUAUAUAUGAUCAGAAUGCGAAUUUUAAAAGUUGGGAAAAUGCAAAGAAUGCGCAUAAUAUGGGAAAAUGAAAAAGAAGAAAUAUAUUGAAAGUGAAGUGGUACUUGUCAUAACAUUUAAUGGGAAGAGUAAACCUUUGUUUUAUUCUUUCUAUUAUAUUAAUAAUAAUGCUAUAUGUACUAUAUAUACUACUAUAUAAUAUAUACUAAUAUAUACCACUAUAUAAUAUACUAAUAUACACUACUAUAAAAUAUACUAUAUAAUAUAUACUAAUAUAUACUACUACUUAAUAUAAUAUAUAAUAUAUACUAAUAUAUACUAGUAUAUAAUAUACUAUUUAUACUAUAUUUAUAUAUGAUCAGAAUGCGAAUUUUAAAAGUUGGAAAAAUGCAAAGAGCGAACGUAAUAUGGAGAAAUGAAAAAGAAGAAAAUAUUCAAAGUGAAGUGGUACUUGUCAUAACAUUUAAUGGGAAAAAUAAACCUUUGUUCUAUUACUUGCUACUACAUCGAUAACAAUAUGAAAUUGCAUAAAAAUCUGCAAACGGUUGUAUUCUAUAGUUAGAACAACGUAUUAAGAACGAAGAAGAGACAACUGCUAAAUCCAACCGAGGAAACGUGAAAGGAUUACAAACUUUUGCUGCAAGAAAAAUAUUCAGCGCUCGUUGGAGAGUUAGAAUUGAUGUCAUGGAAUUUGCACAUGAUCUCUAGAUUCAGUCGACUCCGAAAUCAUUAGCCACCGUGUAGCUUACUGGGCAAGUUUAGAAACACAUCCUCCGCAUUACGCUGUAACCGAGUGUUUUCAAAAACAGUUAGAAGAAGAGAGAUAAUCCAUUGAACGUACAUCAUUCUACGUUUU